UACGGAGGGGGCAAGCGUUGUUCGGAUUUACUGGGCUUAAAGGGCGCGUAGGCGGCUGCGCAAGUCGGGGGUGAAAUCUUUCGGCUCAACCGGAAAAGGGCCCCCGAUACUGCGGAGCUCGAGGGAGGUAGGGGCAGACGGAACUUCCGGUGGAGCGGUGAAAUGCGUUGAUAUCGGAAGGAACGCCGGUGGCGAAAGCG
rnacentral:rRNA from 1 species